rnacentral:lncRNA from 1 species
CCAUUCUGAUUUUAAGAAUAACUCUUCAUCCUGUUCACUCACGGUAUACCCUGGAGGGGGAUGUGUUUUGUUUUGUUUGUUUUGUUUUGUUUUGUUUUGUUUUGUUUUGUUUUAAAGCAAGAAACCCAUAAAUGCCACCUCUUUCCAAAUUGCCCUCAGUCUGUAAUUUAGGCCGGGUGCAGUGGCUCACGCCUGUAAUUCCAGCACUUUGGGAAGCUGAGACGGGUAGAUCACCUGAGGUCAAGAGUUUGAGACCAGCCUGGGCAACAUGGUGAAACCCUGUUUCUACUAAAAAUACAAAAAUUAGCCGGGCGUGGUGGCACACACCUAUAAUCCCAGCUACUCGGGCGGACGAGAUGGGAGAAUCGCUUGAACCCAGGAGGCGAAGGUUGCAGUGAGCUGAGAUCAUGCCACUGCACUCCAGCACUCCAGCCUGGGUGACAGAGCAAGACUCUGUCUCAAAACACACACACACACACACACACACACACACACACACACACACACACACAUAAUUUAACACAAUGCUUCUGCCACAAAAAAAAAUGGAAAAUACAUCUUGAAACCUUAAAAUUCCUUUUUGCUGUCCUGUCUUCCUUUGUUCUCCAGCCUGGUUCCCUGAGACAUUUGUAUUUUUAGUAGAGACGAGGUUUCACCAUGUUAGUCAGGCUGGUCUCAAACUCCUGACCUCAUGUGAUCCACCUGCCUCAGCCUCCCAAAGUGCUGGGAUUACAGGUGUGAGCCACCGUACCCAGCCAAUUUAUUUUUUAUUGAUGUAUUGAUUUCAAGAACAGGGUCUUGCUAUAUUGCCCAGGCAGGUAGUGAACUACUGGGCUCAGGCUAUCCUCCUGCCUCUGCCUCCCUAAGAGCUGGGAUUUCAGGUGUGAGCCACCUUUCCCAGGGGGUAAUUUUUUUUUAAUUCUCACCAAA